CACCCUUCUUCUUUUUCUCACAGAAUUUCCACGGAUGCCAUUGCUUGAAGGGAGGCUUGAGAUACACAUUUUCUUCACACAGCGAGGGAGAUAUCCACUGCACAGCUACUGCCAUUUUCUUCCUGGGACCCAUUUCAACUCUCAAGUUCUAUAACUUCACAAUUCUUCAAGAGAAAAAAACAGGAGGAAUAAAUACUAAGAGGCCGAGAAGAAGGAAGUGAUUCCAGAAAGGUAUCACCAUUCCUCAGUAACGAAACCCAAGUGAGACCACAAUAUCCUGACUUCCAGCCUAGAGCUACCUGUAAUGCGAUAAAUCUCUUCACAGGAGCAUAUACACUGGGAACGGGAACUCUCACAGGAGAUUCUCUCCCUUGUUGAUUGGAAAAAGCCAGCUGCCAUGUUGUGAGUAUCCCAUUUAAAAGGGCUAUAUGGCAAGGAACCGAGGGCAGCCUUCAGCUGACAGCCAGCAAGAAACCAAGAUCCUCAGUCUGGUAGCUUACAAGGCACUGAAUUCUGCCAACAACUGCGUGAGCUUGGAAGUGGAUCCUUCCUCAGUUAAGCCUUGGACAAGACCCAAGCCCUGUUGGACACUUUAAUUACAGCCUUGCAGAGAACCCAGCUAAGGCAUGUUCAGACCUGAUCCACAGAAACUGUGAGAUAAUCAAUGUGUGUUGUUUUAAGCCUCUAAGUGUGUGGUAAUUUGUUACACAGCACUGGUUAGCUAACACAGAUACCUAGACAGCUGGUAAAGCAUUAUUUCUGGAUGUGUCUGUGAGGGUGUUUCUGGAGGAGAUUGGCAUGUGAGUCAGUGAACUCUGUGGGCAAGAGCUACCCUCAAUGUAGGUGGGCACCAUCCAAUGUUGUUUUGUUGUAUCUAGGGGCCCAGAUACAACAAAAAGGCAGAGGAAAGGUGAAUUCACUCUCUCUCUCCUGAAGCUGGGGUACUUUUAUCUCUUGCCCUUGGACAUCAGAACUCCAGGUUCUCUGGCCUUUGGACUCUGGGACUUGCACCAGCUACCGGCUUCUCAGGACUUCAGCCUCAGAUUGAGAGUCACACCAUUAACUUUCCUGGUUUAAAAGCCUUUAUACUUGGACUGAGAAACACCAACAGCUUCCCUGGGCUUCCAACUUGCAGAUGACCUAUCACAGGACUUCUCAGCCUCCAUAAUUGCAUGAGCCAAUUCUCCUAAUAAGUCCCCUUUCACAUAUCUAUUUAUCUACAUACAUAUAUCUACUGGUUCUGUCUUUCUCAGGAACCCUGACCAAUAUAGUAUGUAUCUCUAAAAGAUAAGGACAUCAAAAAAUAUUACCACGUCU